rnacentral:lncRNA from 1 species
GGAGGUGGGUAGGACUGACGCUUCUGUCAUAUAGGUGCGCUCACGUACACACAAAUUACCAUUAGACAAUCAAGGUGAACUUGAACCAAAUUGAUUUGGAUAAGAUUUAUUGAUCAGAUUGUUUUAGAAAACCAACAGCAAAACACUGACAAGGUACAUAAAUACAGAUUGGACAUUUUAGGGUAAAUUCACUGUAUUUCCUACUUGCUUGUAGGAAACCGAGUAAAGUGGAAAAGCUGUCCUGAUCAUAUGGCAUGCACACCAGACUGCAAAAGGACGUCCACACUAUUUAACAGGACUGUGGCAAAAUAGCUUUAAAGUAAGGCGAGCAUUGUGUAUGGCCCAAGCAUACCCUGUAGGAAGAGCAAAGCUAGGCUCACCUCUCAGAGACUGUGUCUCAGAAAGAGGCUUCCUUUCUUGCCUAGGUUCUUCCAUGAAAUUCGUCAUUGGCAGGUGCUUUUCCAGGGAGAUGCCUGUGCUCUCCCUGUGCAGACUCUGUGCACAAGGAAGUGGCUUUAGAGAGUGUGUUUUCUGAUGCCUCCUUUAUAUUCUAAAUGUAUAACUAGUAAAACAACAAUUACUACCGCUUGGUGAAAUUGUUUUUUGUUUUUUUCUGAAAACUGCCUCUGACUCCACCCUGUACACUGACUAAAGAAGAGGUCGCAUUUGGGGAACCAAAGCAAUUUCAGCUAACAGUGACCAGUUUUUAGAAUGGAGCUUAUGAUCAGAGGACCAUAAACCCUCAUCCACCCUAGAGCUCAAUGCCAGAAAAAUAAAAAAUAAUACAAAAAAUAAAGGAAAAUAGCUUUUUGUGCUAUAUCAGAAUGCUGGCAGGUAGACAAUUCAGUAACCUGUGCCACUUUCUAAACAUCUGUAAGACCACAAAAAAAAAAUGGGUUUUACAGAAUACGAAGACCAACACAGUCUUAGAGGAUCAUUCAACCUUUCCUACAUGCCAAGCUGUGUGAUUGGAAAAUAGAAGAGCCAUAGCUCUUGCAAGAUUAGAGGAAAAGCAAGUAUUUGUCAAGAGCCAAAGAAAUGUGUUCAAAUAAUGGAGUUUCCUCUGUGUCGCACACAGCUUUUCCUUCCCGUAGGUACUAAGAGUUCUUUGGUGGUUAGAGAGAUGGCCUGGAGCUCAGGGCAGGAGAUGACGCUGAAGAGCUACCUACUCAUUAACCCCAUUCCAUGGAAAAACAGGUGCUUACAGGAAAGGAUAGGGAGGAAAAAGAAAUGUAAAUGAAUCUAUUGUUUGGUAGGAAAGUUGAUUCACUGAUUAUCUAUGGAUUUCAAUGAUCUGUGCUUUACUCUUGCUACUGUGGAUAACCAAAGGUCACUGUUAACGUAUCUUUUGCUUAAAAAUGUUAAUAUGCUUAUUAUGCUUUAAAAUCUAGCUAUUUAAGGGCAUGAAUGGUUUAAAGCAAAUUUUUACAUCAUGUCAUUAUGGCCCUGAAAAAAGGAGAUUCUGCCAAUGGAAAGGGUUUUGUUUAGCCCCAGUUAAGAUUUCAACCUAUUCUGUGUCAGUUUAUAGUUUUUCCAGGAUGUGGAAAAUAUUAAAUGAAGAAAGCAUCAUUUUCUUCAUUUAAUAAAGUAUUACAUUCCCAGAUAAAUUAGUAUAUACAUAGGAGAAUGGUUAGUGUUAAAUACUAGGUUUUAAUUCUCCGUUUAGGAAACUCCUUACAGAUGGACUUCCUUGUUCUCCGGCAAC